ensembl:lncRNA
GUAGGGGCGACUAGGUCUGCCCGAGCCUCCAAUUCUCCUUCUGAAACUGGAAGGGGUUUUUCGUUGCAAUUACUUCUGUGCUAGGUUGAGGAAGCGUUGGAAUCGCAUUCCACAGCCACAACUAUCCUCCGGUGCUCCGGGGAAAACGGCCUAAUUGAAAACCUUGUCAGCGGCACCCAUCCGUUUUUAUAUCUUGAGCGGCUCCUUUUCUGGUUGGUAAAGAGCUAUAUCUGACGGAGGGUGAGCCGUUGGUGGAGAGAGGAACAAAGGCUUGCGCCGUGGCUCCUCUGCCUUGGUAUUGUUUUUUGUUUUUGUUUUUUCUUCAGUUACACUUGUGCAUUGUUACAACGGGGCACAUUACAAGUGUUACCACAAGGGUUAGAUUGUAGGCCACCCGGAGGGCAGGCCUGUGCCCACUAAGAAGGCACACCUCACAGGAAUGUACAGGUAAACACUUACACAUAUAAGCUUUUGGUGGCUUUGAAUGAGGAGAAAAAAGUACUCUCCGGGGUAGUUUUAGACUGUGCUAUUCUACUUGAAGGAUGAAACCACGGAUUAAGGACCAAAAAUUUUAAUUAAAAAAAAUUAAAAACUAGAAAGCCUAGAAAUGGCAUUUAAACUUCUCAAAGUGUGCAUCAGAAUUCCGUGGAAGGCUUGUUACAGCACAGAAUGCUGAACCACAUCCCCUGAGUUCUCUAAGGGGUCUGGAGUGGGGCCUGGUAAUUUGCAUUUCUACCCAGUUUCUACGUGUUGGUCUGGGACCUCCCCCCACCUAGGAAACCUAUAAUGUUACUAGCUUUUUUCUCUUCUGGUUUACCUUCUGAUAAACCAUGUGGAUUCACUUAUAGGUGACUGAAAUAAAAAUAUUUUUCCUAAGAAAGGAUGUCUCAUUACUCCAGAAGAUAACAGAGUGGUGUUAGACCAGGCUGGGCAAUGUAAUUUAAGCUUUUCAUUCAUUUGGCAAAUAAGUAUUGCUCACCCAUUCUAUUAAGGCAGGGACUAUGCUGACCGUUAAUAUUCAGUAGACACAAAAUGAACAGGUUCUCCGCGCUGCAGAGUUUACAGUUUAGUGGAGAAACAUAUAAACUGUAUUAAGAGCAAUAGAAAUUAUAAAGCAGAGGGCUCUGAGAAAUGGGGAGGAGGGGUGAGUGAAUGGGAGGGAAACAAAAGGUAGGAGAGGCUUCUCUGACAAAAGUGAAAGUCGCUCAAUUAUGUCUGACUCUUUGUGACCCCAUGGACUAUACAGUUCAUGGAAUUUUCUAGACCAGGAUCCUGGAGGGGGUAGCCUUUCCCUUCUCCAGGGUAUCUUCCCAACCCAGGGAGUGAACCCAGGUCUCCUGCAUUGCAGAAGCGAAGCCCAAGAAUACUGGAGUGGGUAGCCUAUCCCUUCUCCAGUGGAUCUUCCUGACCCAGGAAUGAAACUGGGGUGUCCUGCAUUGCAGGCGAGUUCUUUACCAACUGAGCUAUCAGGGAAACAUUUAAAAACUGAGGGCUGGAAGAUGAUAGAUAGGGAGGAGAAUGAGGAAGAAGGGGAGAGCCUUCCAGGAAGUGAGAAGAGUCCAGGCCCUGAGGUGAGAAUGAGCCUUUUUUCUUCCACAAGUUUAAAGAAGUUCCAAGUGUUCAAAGUGAAGUGAGCCAGAGAAGAAGACAGAAUGGGAGGUAAAGCCUGAGAUAAGGAGGAAUCAAAUCAUGCGAGGAUUUGUAGACUUCUUAAAGCAUCUUAAAGUUUAGCCUAAAAGCAACUUGGAAUCCAUCAGAGAUUUAAGGAAAUGUUUUGCCUGCUUUGUAAGGAAUGGAUUCUACAAAGUUAAUAGUGAAGUGAAUGCUUAUAUAGCGUAUAUGAUGUUGGCGUUAAGAGAUAGAAAAUAUGAGGAGUAGCAUCCAGAUGGGAUUAGAUGUGUACAAAGGAGACUUACUAAGGGGCAUCAUCAUCAUUACCAUCCACUGGUGCCCAGUACAUCCACAGCUACUCAUAUGAAAUAAACAAGCAAACAAAUAAAUAAAUCUCAGGGGCCACUUUCCUCAGAGGUUUGUCUUCCAAGAAGUCAAACAGAAGUGAUUCUUUGUUCAGGUACCUUCUGUUUUUUCACUAUACAUAGAAGAUGGUAUAUGAGGACUCUUUGCUGCCUUUUCCACCAUCAAGUACUGAAGGUUUUGGGGGAGAGCAGAUGCCCGAAGAUUGGCCCUGACAGAAGAUGGAGAUGUGGUUUGGUUGGGGUAGAGCAAAUGAUUGUUUCCAGUAUGA